GCUCUUACUACCUGGACCUUAAAGCAAGCACAAGUCCUGUACAAGUCAAGUCCAGCAAAGCUAAGCCAAAGCCUAAAAACCUGCAGCCACAUCAAAUCUCGCUAUGAUGGAAACGAACCCAGAAGAAGCACACACCAGCGUGAAACCGCAGGCAGUCGCCUCUGAGCGUCCUGCAUGAAGUCGCUAGCCGGAUCUGGUGGAGAAUGUGAAGCAGAGUCGUCAGGCUGAGGCCUUGCUAGGAUCAGGAUCGUUUGGCAAAGUGAGGAACCAAUGAUGUCAAGGCAUCAAACUUUACAGAGGAAGAUGGAGGUGGAAAAAGACAUGGCGUCUGGGCCAGAUGAAGAAGAAAAGGAAAGACAACAGAGAAGAUGUCUCCUUAUUGCCUGCUGCACGUUAUGUCUCUCUAAACGGACACUGCUACAGGAUUUGGACUAGCGGCUAGCAUUGAUAAUGUGAAUAUCGCGGACCACAGAUGGGAAUUUAAGACUGCUGAUU